AGAGUUUGAUCAUGGCUCAGAUUGAACGCUGGCGGCAGGCUUAACACAUGCAAGUCGAGCGGGGGAAGGUAGCUUGCUACUGGACCUAGCGGCGGACGGGUGAGUAAUGCUUAGGAAUCUGCCUAUUAGUGGGGGACAACAUCUCGAAAGGGAUGCUAAUACCGCAUACGUCCUACGGGAGAAAGCAGGGGAUCUUCGGACCUUGCGCUAAUAGAUGAGCCUAAGUCGGAUUAGCUAGUUGGUGGGGUAAAGGCCUACCAAGGCGACGAUCUGUAGCGGGUCUGAGAGGAUGAUCCGCCACACUGGGACUGAGACACGGCCCAGACUCCUACGGGAGGCAGCAGUGGGGAAUAUUGGACAAUGGGGGGAACCCUGAUCCAGCUAUGCCGCGUGUGUGAAGAAGGCCUUAUGGUUGUAAAGCACUUUAAGCGAGGAGGAGGCUACUUUAGUUAAUACCUAGAGAUAGUGGACGUUACUCGCAGAAUAAGCACCGGCUAACUCUGUGCCAGCAGCCGCGGUAAUACAGAGGGUGCGAGCGUUAAUCGGAUUUACUGGGCGUAAAGCGUGCGUAGGCGGCUUAUUAAGUCGGAUGUGAAAUCCCCGAGCUUAACUUGGGAAUUGCAUUCGAUACUGGUGAGCUAGAGUAUGGGAGAGGAUGGUAGAAUUCCAGGUGUAGCGGUGAAAUGCGUAGAGAUCUGGAGGAAUACCGAUGGCGAAGGCAGCCAUCUGGCCUAAUACUGACGCUGAGGUACGAAAGCAUGGGGAGCAAACAGGAUUAGAUACCCUGGUAGUCCAUGCCGUAAACGAUGUCUACUAGCCGUUGGGGCCUUUGAGGCUUUAGUGG
rnacentral:rRNA from 1 species